rnacentral:pre_miRNA from 1 species
UGACUUUUUUCUAAGUCAGACUUCUUUAGCUUUGACCAAAUCUAUAGAAAAAUAUAGCAAUAUUUUUAACACAAAAAAAACUAUCCAAAUAUAUUCAAUGUUAGAUGUAAUGAAACCAACUUGGUGCUAUAAGUGUUGCUAUAUUUUUUCUAUAAACUUGGUUAAACAUUCAAGAAGUUUGAUUUUUUUAAAGAAAGUCAA